rnacentral:rRNA from 1 species
UGAGGAAUAUUGGUCAAUGGACGGAAGUCUGAACCAGCCAAGUAGCGUGCAGGAUGACGGCCCUAUGGGUUGUAAACUGCUUUUAUACGGGGAUAAAGUGCGUGACGUGUCAUGCAUUGCAGGUACCACAUGAAUAAGGACCGGCUAAUUCCGUGCCAGCAGCCGCGGUAAUACGGAAGGUCCGGGCGUUAUCCGGAUUUAUUGGGUUUAAAGGGAGCGUAGGCUGUCUAUUAAGCGUGUUGUGAAAUAUACCGGCUCAACCGGUGGCUUGCAGCGCGAACUGGUCGACUUGAGUAUGCAGGAAGUAGGCGGAAUUCAUGGUGUAGCGGUGAAAUGCUUAGAUAUCAUGACGAACUCCGAUUGCGCAGGCAGCUUACUGUAGCAUAACUGACGCUGAUGCUCGAAAGUGCGGGUAUCAAACAGG